AAUAAAUGUAGUUUUGCACUAUUCACGUUCAACGUUUAACCAUUCGUCUUAUUUGAAAAUUUUUUAUGAUUAAUGUUUUUAUUGCUAUUAGAUGAUAAAAUAUGAAUAGUACUUUAUGUGUUAUUAAAUAUUUUCAUUUUUUCAUAAAUUUUUCAAAUAAGACAAGGUACACUUAUUUUGGGACAGAGGUAGUCCUACU
rfam:Oryza sativa Japonica Group DNA, chromosome 1, cultivar: Nipponbare, complete sequence.